UGCCCUACGGGGCGGAGACCGGCCCCCUCAGCCCAGAGCCCUCAUUGGCCUACGGAUCCCCAGACCCCUCCUCCCAACCAAUCCGCGGCUUGAUCUUCCUCUACCAGAGGAUGAUUGGUUAAUAUGCCUAGCGAUCCAACCCCAAGACCCCACCUCCAUCCCACCACCGCCUGCUGCCCCACGUCCGAGAGCUCGCUGAUUGGUCCGUCCGGAAGGGGGCUGGUUCUCCGGUACCGCCAAUGACAAGAUGCAGAAAAGGGGAGCGUCACACCCAGUCCCAGGUAGUAUGCAAAUACUGUGUCACGUGACGUCAAGCAAAGUGGGGGCGGGGCCGGGGCCGAGGCCGGGUGUAAGAUGGAAUAAAGCAGUAGUGAAAUCAUCAUGGGGAGCUGGGAGGAGUGUCAAAUUUUCAGCAAUUGAGUCCCGUUUUCCCUACCUUAGAGAAAGAGAGAGAGAUGGGGAAGCUGGGGGAUUUCCAUUAAGGAGAAACCAGAGACGAUCAAAGGAGGAGGAGGGUGGUGCUGCCCUUUAAGAAAGCCUGCCAGAGCUCUGGAACUGGGACUCUUAAGAAACUUCUGUAAUGUGCCAAGUAAAGUGAGAAAGCUCUUCGUGGGGUCAAAAGAGAAGCUACAAGAGGAGGCCCCACGGAAGACUUGGCAGAAGAGAGUGGGAAGGAGUUUCACAUGGAUGGAUCAGAGCCUCAGCCUCCAUCUUUCCACAGCCUUUAAGAUUUUGCCUCAUAUGCAUGCAUACUUGACAAAGACUUUACCACUAGAGGUCAUAGAGAAGCCAGAGAGAGUGAGGAGAAACUACCAGAUAAAUCAUUACGAAGCAAAUGUUCUCCUUUCUCAAUUACAUGGACUCAAUAGCUGAAUGUGGCUAGACAAAGCACCUGUCUCUCCGUCUUUCAAUCAGACUUAAAAAGAAAAUCAUCAAGACCUCAGUAGAGAAAUGAGUAAUGCACGGGAUUUCAUGGAAGAGGAAACAGGACUAGCAAAUAAACACAUGAAGACUGAAGUCCAUCCUAACUAGAAAUAAAAUGAAAAGCACAUUUGAGGUGCACUUUUCUUUCUUUCUUUUUUUUAACUAAACUUGCAAGAUUUUAUUAAGUGGUAACACUCAGUUCUGGGAACAUCUUAAAAUUGGUAUCCUCCCACAAGGAUGGUGACACUUUAAAUUUGGACAAGUCUUUGGGGAAAAAAAUCAAGCAACGUAGAAGAGGUAGAAAUAAAAACAGGAGAGCUAAGAUGCAUGCAGACACACACUGCAUCAUUAUCUGACUUAAAAGAACCUCAAUAAUCCCAAACAGAGCACGUUAUGUCACAGUGCCACAUUACAACAUUACACAGCAAUUACAAUUAUAAUUACAAGGACUACAGAGAAACAAGGAGAUAUUAAGAAUGUGUAAAAAAUAUGGAAUUCCAUGUAAGCAAUGAGUGCAUCUAUGCAAAAUGUGUACAUAUAAUAAAAUGUAUGCAUGUGGAGAAAAAUUGGAAGGCAAUAUGCAAACAAUAAAAAUAGCUCUAUAGCAGCAGUGAGAUUAAGGAUGUUUUAUUUUUUCAAACAUUUAUUUAGUGUUAUUAUACUGGAUUAAUAACUUUUGAAAAGGUGGAGAGGGUUGGUGCAGGUGUACGUCAUACUCCCCCAGCCCCCACUAUUACACACUGGUCCUAAAUUGACAGGUCUAGGAGGAAAAGACCUGUCUGUUUAUUCACAGAGUACACUCAGCUCCUACCCAAAGCAUAGCACUUACCAGAUGCUCGAUAAAUAUUAGUUGAAUGAAUAAAUGAAAGUAACUUCAGUCUAAAACGUCUCAACCCAUGAUCACUAAAUACAUUCUACCCUGGGAAUAAAAAAGAAUUUGGUUUUGCUGGAAUUAAAAAAAAAAAAAAUGGAAGGCCCAUCCAUAAUGGCAAUUCCCUGGUUUUCUUGAUAAAUGAAUUUGGGCAUAGAGAAACAGCGAGAGACAGUCUGUUAAAGCAAACCCAAUUACCACCCAGGAACAUAUGUUGCCCUGAGGCCUCUGCUGCUAUAACAACAUUGUGUAACUAUAACUACAGCCCUGGAGGGCUUUGCCCCUGUCAAAUAAGGGAAAAGAUGUCU